AGUGCUCGAAAGAGAGCCGUAACACAGGUGCUGCAUGGCUGUCGUCAGCUCGUGUCGUGAGAUGUUGGGUUAAGUCCCGCAACGAGCGCAACCCUUGCCAUUAGUUGCUACGAAAGGGCACUCUAAUGGGACUGCCGGUGACAAACCGGAGGAAGUGGGGAUGACGUCAAGUCCUCAUGGCCCUUAUAGGUGGGGCUACACACGUCAUACAAUGGAUGGUACAAAGGGUCGCCAACCCGCGAGGGGGAGCCAAUCCCAUAAAGCCAUUCGUAGUCCGGAUCGCAGUCUGCAACUCGACUGCGUGAAGUCGGAAUCGCUAGUAAUCGUGGAUCAGAAUGUCACGGUGAAUACGUUCCCGGGUCUU
rnacentral:rRNA from 1 species